AAUGAAGCGAAAGGAAGUCAGACAGAGUCUUUCAGGGUUCCUCCCAGAUGCCUGAAGAACUCAGCCUCAUAGGGCAAGCCUACUUCCCUACAUUUCCUUGGAAGCUUGACGAAUACUUUCCUGAGGCAGGGACCUCUUCCUUUGCUCAUUGGAAGCUUUUUGCUGAAUUGGAUGUAACUGAAUAAAGAGAGCACGUGAGAUCUUUACUCCAUUGGUUCUUUGAAAAACAAUGUACUGACAGAAGAUGCAGAAGAAUAAUGCAAAAAGGAGCACCAUACUCUUGAAGCAUAUGCAACUUUAAGAAUAUACACAGUGCACCUCAAAAGUUUUCUCACUUGCCCAGUGGAGAAUCAACAUUGCGUCAAACAGAGGAGUCAGCGAAAGGUAGAUGCACAGGGGUCAUUUUAACAGGCUACUCUAGCUGGGAUUUACAGUGGCCAUGGAAGUUACUAUAAACAGAUUUUUAAAUAGUUUUCUCAAGACCUUUUAUAUA
rnacentral:lncRNA from 1 species